UUGACCCAAUUCUUGAGAGUGCUUAUCUAUCAACUCCACAGAAUUCCUAAAUAAGAAAUUUCUCCGCCCUAACACAUCUCUAAUGAUUGAAAUUAGGUUGCACAAUCUCUGAGUCUCAUUCUUCUUAACAUGUUCCAACACCAAACUAGCAUCACCUUCAACCAAAAUUAAAUAAUUAUAGGACCAUACACUUUUACACAAAUUUUAACACAAUUGUUUUAUGCAACUGACUAAGUGGUAAAGAAAAAAUGUUGAGUUAACGUGAAAGUGUCAAACAAUCAAUUACAGUCUACCAUAUAAGACAAUUGUGGCAAAGGAGGUGUAAAAUCUCUGCUCCUAAAAUUAUUCACCAAAAUUUCCUUCCAAAUGCUGGCUAGGUCCAAGGCCUAUUUCAUUGCUAAUGCUUCAGCCUUUUUUUUUUUCUGGUUCACAUGUAUAAUCGUUGUGUCUAGGCUAUUUAGCUUGAUGCAUCGAGAACCCAACAUUGGAUAGCCAUUUUUUUGGAAUAUUUUUUAGCCAUUCUUCAAUGGUCUGUUUGGAUGAUUUGGAUUUGGAUUUAAGGAGGCCCAAAUCCAAAUCCUUUGUUUGGGUGAAGUUAAAAGAAAUGGAUUUGGAUUUGGCCCAAAUCCAUCUUGGAUUUCAGGGGUCCAAAUCCAUGGAUUUGAAAUCCCCUCACAAACCCAAGAAUUUUGAAAUCCCUCGCCCAGCCCUCACGCUCGUGCUCUCUCCUCAAUCCUUCAUCGGCUCCAGAAACUCUACCAAAAAAAAAAAAAAAAAAAACUCUGUCACGCAGACUCACGCUCUCACUUCCUCGCCCAAACUUUUCUUCUUUCUCUCUUUCUUGCGACAUGUGCUGUGUAUCUUUUGAAUUCUCCCAUUGCACAACAACCAUGUCAACAUUCGUUAUCAACAAGUUCUGUAGCUGAGCCUCACCAAAGAAAAAGGAGUAGGAAAGAUCCAUUAGUUGAAGUUGUUGCAGAUAUUGGUUCCUCACUUUUAAUUGUUAAGAACUUUGGAAUAUUUUUUUAGUUUGAGAUUUUGAAUGUUGUGAAAAAACCCAUGCAUUUGGGUUUUCUCUCUAUGUUGAUAUAGAACAUUUUAGUUGUCAUCAGUUGGCAAGACAUUUCAUCGUGACAAUUGGAUUAUCAAUGGUUUUUUCAUUAAAA